rnacentral:rRNA from 1 species
CCUACGGGCGGCAGCAGUGGGGAAUAUUGCACAAUGGGGGAAACCCUGAUGCAGCGACGCCGCGUGAGUGAAGAAGUAUUUCGGUAUGUAAAGCUCUAUCAGCAGGGAAGAAAAUGACGGUACCUGACUAAGAAGCCCCGGCUAACUACGUGCCAGCAGCCGCGGUAAUACGUAGGGGGCAAGCGUUAUCCGGAUUUACUGGGGGUAAAGGGGGCGUAGACGGCAGAGCAAGUCUGAAGGGAAAGCCCGCGGGCCAACUGCGGGACUGCUUUUGAAACUGCCCGGCUAGAGUGCUGGAGAGGUAAGCGGAAUUCCUAGUGUAGCGGUGAAAUGCGUAGAUAUUAGGAGGAACACCAGUGGCGAAGGCGGCUUACUGGACAGUAACUGACGUUGAGGCUCGAAAGCGUGGGGAGCAAACAGGAUUAGAUACCCUUGUAGUC